UACGUAGGGGGGCUAGCGUUGUCCGGAAUCAUUGGGCGUAAAGAGCGUGUAGGCGGCCCGGUAAGUCCGCUGUAAAAGUCAAAGGCUCAACCUUUGAAUGUCAGUGGAUACUGCCGGGCUAGAGUCCGGAAGAGGCGAGUGAAACUCCUGGUGUAGCGGUGGAAUGCGCAGAUAUCAGGAAGAACACCAACGGCGAAGGCAGCUCGCUGGGACGGUACUGACGCUGAGACGCGAAAGCGUGGGGAGCGAACAGG
rnacentral:rRNA from 1 species